ensembl:processed_transcript 9930014A18Rik RIKEN cDNA 9930014A18 gene
ACUCCGGAUCCUAACUAGCCCUUUGACGUCCUUCAAUGUCUGCACCCCCAAGAACCUGCUAGGCUACCUUGGCGUGGAGGUGGCAGGUGAGCCUCCGGACUAGACUCACCUGCCGCAAGUCACUGCGGCUCGUCGGCCCCUCCCCCGCGCGCCUGCCCUGGGGUUCAGAUUACCUGCGCGGACUCUCUCCCCGAGAGGUAGAAGCCCUAGGGGACCGGGAGGAGCACCCUGCCGCACCCGAGACUUCUAGGGCGAGUUCGCAGGUGUGGGCUCCGCAGUGCCUCCUCUCCCAGCGCAGACCAAGGCGAAGCUGGGCUUCGGGGAAGGACGCAUUUCUCCCUCGCCGCCCCCCGCGGUUGUGUAGAGCCCCAAGACUUGAAGAUGGGGGGCAAUGCCUGUUCACGAUCGUUGCUGCACGACCCCUCACGCAGAUUUCCAGGAAGUUACUGUGGCCUUCACGACUUGACUGGAGGAGACAUGAGAUAAAUAAGCAGAAGAACAAAUAAAAGUGCCUGAGAUCAGGACUGUGAGGAACGUAAGACAACACCCCGAGAUUGAGUAGCUGUCCUGAAGGAGAGAGUGGCAGGGACAUCACUGGCCUACUUUACAUGAGAUGGCCAAGGAAGACCCCUCAAGAGCUGGAAUUUGGGCUGAGACAUAAAGAAAAGAAGGGCUGGCAUUGCUAUCCACUCCAGAAGGAAGAUGGGAACAGAAGAAGGAUGGAGCUGAGAGCGUUUAGAGAGUAGGAGAAAAGGAGAUUGAGAUGAGAGUACAGAAUGGGCAGGGCCGGGAGACAAGAAACCUCCUGAGCCAAAAAUAGAGUCAGUGAAGACACUGUACCAGUGGUGACUAUUGUACUUGCAAUUUUUUUUUUUAGAGAAUUUUGUUUAUUAAGCAUUCAACCACAGUAACCCAAAUUUCAUAUUCUCUGCACCUGCUCUAAGAAGAAAGAAAAUAAAAACAAGCUGUGUUCAAUGUUGGUGAGUUCCUGUCUAAGCCCCUGAGGCUGAACUGAGAUUUGACCUUUCUACCCCACGAGGCCUGAACUCUGACGUUGCAAGUGGGGUGAGAUAUUGGGUUGAAAAUUGUCUCUCCUGGAAUGUAUACAACAGGGGAUCAAAGAACUCUGUGGUUAAGCAAUCUAGACUUCUGUCUAUCCCCAGGCUGGGCCUCAUGCUCACCAACAUAAUAGCAUUUUCUCAAAUGCAGCUACCUCCAUAGCACCCUACAUCCCCAAACCCCUAGGCUGAUCGGUACCCAUUCUCCCUGAGGGUUUCUGGCCCUCUUGUAAAGUGAACAGUGGUAGAGUGGAGUGAUAACUUGAUGUUCCUUGUGUUUGCCAAUCAUGUGAUGCUAGAGUUGUCUCUUCUCCAUGCUGGGCCUGGUGUCUCAGCCUUUCAGGUAAUGCUGAUGCUCUCUGUCACGACAGAGAUGUUCAAGGAAAAUCUAUGUGCAGGAGCAUCCUGUAAAUCCUAAAGGCCAUGUGCACGCUGGGCAUGAUUCACAGCCCAUGAUGACUUUGUGUAAGGAGUAGGAGAGCCUCCUGCUGUGGGCCUCUUUGUAACAAAUCUCCGCACACUCCUGAUGUUUGUGUGUCCCCAGCCAGCGUGUUAAGUCCAAAGGACGUAUGAGUCCUACUCAUUAUCAAGGAAGAGGCUAGGCCCUGCUGCCUCCAAGUCUGGUUUUCACAAUGAAUCAAACAGAGUCGAAGGAGGGGUAGAGUACUCCCAUCCUGUGUGUGUUUGCUUGGCCUGUAACCAGCAAAUCUCAGUGACCAGCUAAUUUUGCUUUGCUAGGAACUUGAAUGGUUUUAGUCCUGAACACUUCUGGCCAAAGCUAAUGGCAAUAGUGGUCAUCCGACCUGGGUGCCUCCCUGUCUUGGUCAUUGCCCUCCACCCUGAACAAAGAGCUGUCAUGAGAACUGGGUUAGGUAUGUUACAAUGAUGGAAAAGAGUGGGUACAGAAAGCAGGGAAAAUUGAGUUUUCAGAGAUGCUGCUUUUAACAGAGACUAGGGCAGACGGUCAUCCAAUCAAAGAGACUAUUAGAUGAACACUUAUUCUGUCUUUUGUUCAUUUGUUAUAAGUUUCAUUCCCUGGGAUAGGUGAUACCCACUGUACCCAUGUCACCUUUGAGAGCUAUUCACCUGUAGCUCUGUUCCCAGCCUGCCAGACUUUGGCUACGAAAUCAAUGUAGGAGUGUUACACACUGACACAGUUCCAGAUUAAGGAGAGAGGUACCAGAGGCUGCCUAAUCAUGAGAUAUUUUUUUUCUUUCUUUCUGUUUCAUUUUUUCUUAGAUAACUAGGCCAGACUCUUUCCAACAGGAAGGGCAUGAGUUACUCUGCAGAUGGACAGAGACAAGACAGGGGGGCCCCUUAGCAGAAGCUAGAGCUGCACCUGCACCCUGGGACCUCAAGCCAUCCCACCUACUGCUCACACAUUUCUCUUGCUAUCAGGCUGUCUCGGAGAGAGAAGAGAUGGAGCCGGUCCUCCAUCAGGCCCACUGCUUCAGGGGGCCCUGUGAUCAUAUUGUUGAUGUUGCCGGAAAUGUGAUUUGUGCUCAGGAGUCUGAGAUUGUAGCUGGGCUCCCUCAGGAGCCUCAUGAAAAAUGCAUUUCACCAGGCGGUUCCAGGGGAGAGACUGGCUUAAAUUACAGCUCUAGGAAUCCAAAUAUUGGCAUAUCUGCAAAUCCAAAUGUGGGNNNNNNNNNNNACCUAAAUUCCAAGAAUCUCAUUCUGCACUUUUUGUGUGCAAAAGGGGUGAUGGGAUUCAGAAAGGGGAGAUUCAGAGGCUUCAGAAGAGAACACCCCAACUCUUCCACCCUUUUCUCUCCCCAUGCAUCCUGCAUGCCUUCAAAGAAACAGGCUGUGACACAGAGGAGAAGGUAGCAUUUGUUCAGUGUGACAGUUUUUAGUACAGGUGGGGCACAGGAGGGCUCAGCCAUCUCUGUCUGCCCCUCCCUGUACAGUUUUCUGGAUCUAGGAUGAAGGUUUCUUAUGGAUCAGUAACGGCACUACAGUCAUUCACAACCCAGCAGGGUGAGGGAUCCUGCGCCGCUGUGAGAGAAGCCAAGUUAUUUCUCUGCUCAAAAUCCUCAUCUGCCUUAGAGAGGGGUGGGGUGUUCCUACUGUAGGCUCCAAGGUCAUUUCACUAGUUUUCUCCUCAUCACAAGACAAGAUGGCCCUUCAUUAUUCCCUUCCCCCAUGGCAAGUGCACAUCUCCCUCAGAAUCUAAACUUUUCUCAUUCCUUCUGCAUGGAGUACUUACUUGUCCCUGCAAAGCUCAUCAGACUCUGUUCAGUCUUCACUAAGAUACCAGCUUCCAGAUACAUAUUCCCUGACAACAUUAUUUUAAAAUCCCUAGACUUCUCAUACAUGCUCUUGCGUACAGCAGUGACUUAGAUGUGGACCCAAGGGGGUCUGUGGCUUGGUAUUGAAGAGAUGGUAUCUUUAAAUAGUGAAACUUCCUGGAAGAUGGUUAGAUCAUUGGUGACACUUCCAGUGGAAGGAAUUGUGAUAAUUCUAGAUUCCUGAUUUGUUCCCAAGAGAGUGAGUUGUUAUAAGAGCAAGCCUGAUUGGCUUCCUGUCUGAUCAUGUGACCUCUCCCCUGCACGUGCUACAGCUAUAGUGGUGGCAUCCAUCACAAGGCAUGAGUCAAGCAGAAGCUGGGACCAUGGUCUUUAUCCUGUAAAAUGGAGUAAAUAAACCUUUUUCUUUGGAAGUACCCAGCCUUAGAUGUUUUGUUACAGCCAUGGAAAUAGAUGAUCAUAACCCAUUUCUGUUCUGUUAUAUAUUAUUUAAACUAUGUAUUUAUUUCCUUUUCUUAUUUUGUAUAAGUUAGUAACUUGAUUUGGUUGUCAUAGCUCAUAUAUUAUAAGAUCUGAAUUAUAGUUGAUUGAAUAAUUGACAGUAUCUUUAUGGGGCAUCUCUAUCCCUCUUCACAAUAUAAUUUCUCUUUAAUUUACAGGGGGACUAUCAAGCUCUAAAAUUUAAGUAACUGCCUAUAUUGUAACCAGCACAAUAGUCCAGAAAUCUGGGCUUCAGACAGGUCUUUGAACUGGACUUGGGUGCAUCAAGAAAUAUAACCUUGUGCUACCUUGCAUGGUAUCUACCAGUC